rnacentral:rRNA from 1 species
GACGAACGCUGGCGGCGUGCUUAACACAUGCAAGUCGAACGGAAAGGCCCUGCUUUUGUGGGGUGCUCGAGUGGCGAACGCGUGAGUAACACGUGAGUAACCUGCCCUUGACUUUCUGAUAACUUCAGGAAACUGGGGCUAAUACCUGAUAUGAUCUCCUGCUACAUGGUGGGGGUUGGAAAGUUUCGGCGGUUGGGGAUUUACUAGAGGCUUAUGAGCUUGUUUGUGGGGUAGUUGCUUACCAAGGCUUUGACUGCUAGGCGUCCUGAGAGGGUUACCGGGGACAUUGGGACUGCGAUAGGGAGCAGAAUCGUACCGGAGGCAGUGGUGGGGAGCAUUGCACAACGGGCGGACGUGUGAUGGAGAGACGUGGCGUUCGGGAAGAUCGGUUUCGGGUUGUAAACAGCUUUGGACUGUGACGAAGCCUGAGUGACGGUAAUGGGUCAGGAAGCACCGGCUAACUACGUG